GAUGAAGAACGCAGCGAAAUGCGAUAAGUAAUGUGAAUUGCAGAAUUCAGUGAAUCAUCGAAUCUUUGAACGCACAUUGCACCCGCCAGAAUUCUGGCGGGCAUGCCUGUUCGAGCGUCAUUUCAACCCUCGGUCUCCCUCCGGGAGAGACCGGCGUUGGGGACCGGCACUUACCCCGCCGGCCCCGAAAUGAAGUGGCGGCCCGUCCGCGGCGACCUCUGCGUAGUAACUCCACUCGCACCGGGACCCGGGCGCGGCCACGCCGUAAAACCCCCAACUUCCGAAUGUUGACCUCGAAUCAGGUAGGAAUACCCGCUGAACUUAAGCAUAUCAAUAAGCGGAGGA
rnacentral:misc_RNA from 1 species